rnacentral:rRNA from 1 species
UACGUAGGGGGCGAGCGUUGUCCGGAUUUAUUGGGCGUAAAGAGCGUGUAGGCGGCCAGGUAGGUCAGCUGUGAAAACUCGAGGCUCAACCUCGAGACGUCGGUUGAAACCACCUGGCUAGAGUUCGGAAGAGGGUCGUGGAAUUCCCAGUGUAGAGGUGAAAUUCGUAGAUAUUGGGAAGAACACCGGUGGCGAAGGCGGCGACCUGGUCCGACACUGACGCUGAGGCGCGAAAGCGUGGGGAGCGAACAGG